GAAAUGCGAUAAGUAAUGUGAAUUGCAGAAUUCAGUGAAUCAUCGAAUCUUUGAACGCACCUUGCGCUCCUUGGUAUUCCUUGGAGCAUGCCUGUUUGAGUAUCAUGAAAUCUUCAAAGUAAAUCUUUUGUUAACUCAAUUGGUUUCUACUUUGUUAUUGGAGGUCUUUGCAGCUUCACACCUGCUCCUCUUUGUUCAUUAGCUGGAUCUCAGUGUUAUGCUUGGUUCCACUCGGCGUGAUAAGUUAUCUAUCGCUGAGGACACUGUAAUAGGUGGCCAAGGUAAAUGCAGAUGAACCGCUUCUAAUAGUCCAUUGACUUGGACAAUACUUUUAUGAUCUGAUCUCAAAUCAGGUAGGACUACCCGCUGAACUUAAGC
rnacentral:misc_RNA from 1 species